rnacentral:rRNA from 1 species
AUUGAACGCUAGCGGCAUGCUUUACACAUGCAAGUCGAACGGUAACAGGGUGCUUGCACCGCUGACGAGUGGCGAACGGGUGAGUAAUGCGUCGGAACGUGCCGAGUAGUGGGGGAUAACGCAUCGAAAGGUGUGCUAAUACCGCAUACGUACUGAGGUAGAAAGUGGGGGACCUUCAGGCCUCACGCUAUUCGAGCGGCCGACGUCUGAUUAGCUAGUUGGUGAGGUAAAGGCUCACCAAGGCGACGAUCAGUAGCGGGUCUGAGAGGAUGAUCCGCCACACUGGGACUGAGACACGGCCCAGACUCCUACGGGAGGCAGCAGUGGGGAAUUUUGGACAAUGGGCGCAAGCCUGAUCCAGCCAUGCCGCGUGUCUGAAGAAGGUCUUCGGGUUGUAAAGGACUUUUGUCCGGGAGCAAAUACCCAGUGCUAAUAACGCUGGGGGCUGAGAGUACCGGAAGAAUAAGCACCGGCUAACUACGUGCCAGCAGCCGCGGUAAUAC